rnacentral:rRNA from 1 species
UACGGAGGGUGCAAGCGUUAUCCGGAUUCACUGGGUUUAAAGGGUGCGUAGGUGGGUUGGUGAGUCAGUGGUGAAAUCUCCAGGCUUAACUUGGAAACUGCCAUUGAUACUAUCAAUCUUGAAUACCGUGGAGGUCAGCGGAAUAUGUCAUGUAGCGGUGAAAUGCUUAGAUAUGACAUAGAACACCAAUUGCGAAGGCAGCUGGCUACACGAAUAUUGACACUGAUGCACGAAAGCGUGGGGAUCAAACAGG